rfam:Dipodomys ordii contig_10094, whole genome shotgun sequence.
GGGAAUGUGGCUUAGUGGUAGAGUGCUUGCCCAGCAUGCAUGAAGCCUUGGGUUCGAUUCCUCAGUACCA